rnacentral:rRNA from 1 species
UACGUAGGGUGCGAGCGUUGUCCGGAUUUAUUGGGCGUAAAGGGCUCGUAGGCGGCCUGUCGCGUCGGGCGUGAAAGCCCACUGCUUAACGGUGGGUCUGCUUCCGGUACGGGCGGGCUGGAGUAUGGCAGGGGAGACUGGAAUUCCUGGUGUAGCGGUGGAAUGCGCAGAUAUCAGGAGGAACACCGGUGGCGAAGGCGGGUCUCUGGGCCAUUACUGACGCUGAGGAGCGAAAGCAUGGGGAGCGAACAGG